rnacentral:rRNA from 1 species
AUGCAAGCCGAGCGGUAUGGUUCUUUCGGGAACCAGAGAGCGGCGUACGGGUGCGGAACACGUGUGCAACCUGCCUUUAUCUGGGGGAUAGCCUUUCGAAAGGAAGAUUAAUACCCCAUAAUAUAAGAGACGGCAUCGUUUUUUAUUGAAAACUCCGGUGGAUAGAGAUGGGCACGCGCAAGAUUAGAUAGUUGGUGAGGUAACGGCUCACCAAGUCGACGAUCUUUAGGGGGCCUGAGAGGGUGAUCCCCCACACUGGUACUGAGACACGGACCAGACUCCUACGGGAGGCAGCAGUGAGGAAUAUUGGACAAUGGGUGAAAGCCUGAUCCAGCCAUCCCGCGUGAAGGACGACGGCCCUAUGGGUUGUAAACUUCUUUUGUAUAGGGAUAAACCUUUCCACGAGUGGAAAGCUGAAGGUACUAUACAAAUAAGCACCGGCUAACUCCGUGCCAUCAGCCGCGGUAAUACGGAGGGUGCAAGCGUUAUCCGGAUUUAUUGGGUUUAAAGGGGCC